rnacentral:tRNA from 1 species
CUAGUUUAAUUGCUAGAAGGAUAUUGCUGUUUUAGCAAAGGUGCGGGUUCAAGUCCCGUAAAGGACU